GGCUUCGUGGCCUAAUGGCUAGGGCGCUAGAUUUCGGUACCUGUUAGAUACUCUAGAGAUUGUCGGUUCGAGUCCGGCCGAAGUCG